rnacentral:lncRNA from 10 species
GAAAGCACUCAUGUUUGAGUCAGGAAACUUGGGUUCUGGACUUGGACUUUGGGCUUCUCUUUAUUUUUCUCUGAGCCAUUUAUUCUUGUCCAAAGUGAGGAGUUGGCCCAAAACACUUCUAUGUGCCGAUUUCCCUCUAAAAGCCUGUGAUUACUGAUUAUGACCACUGCAGGGACAGUUUUUCAAAACUGUGUCCAACGAUUACAUUUAUAUUGAUUCUGUGUCCGUUGGAGUCUCGUCCUGAGACACAGGUGAAGCAGGACGCAGGGCAGUGAUAAUGACCAGCAGACACACAGGGUCACUCGGGUUACCCAGAGCUCAGUGCAGAGGUCAGCUCCGUCCUCUCAUGUUGCCACUCAGGACCAUUUGUCAGUGACUGAUUGCUGUUUUCACAUCCCAGGAUUAUCACCUGCUCUCUUUUCUACCUAAAAUGUCUACACCAUCGCUCUUCUCCAACUUUUCCUUUCUGGUCCUAUCAGAGAAGGGAGCAGAAUUCCAUGGCAGAGACCAUGGGCUUAGAAAUUGAGCUUCACAAGUUUAAGUCCUGCUUAUAUCCCUUACUUGCUGUGAGCACCUCAUUUCCCUCUGUGAGCUUCCAGUUUCCACAUCUGUAGAAUGGCCACAGUGUCGGUACCUGCUUCAGAUAAUUGUGGUGGGUUGGGAAGAUGAUAAUUCACAGUGCCCAGAAGAUAGUAAAUAUAGUAAGUGAAUUAUUUUCUCCUCCUCCCUGUGUUCUCCCUGCUACCCCUUGUUAUCUUUCAUCUCUCAAAGUGGAGCUAAGGGAUCAUACACUUCAGAAAAAUAUCUCCUGCCCUUGUCCCUUCCCAGAGAAUCAUGUCUGUAAUUUUAUCUUGCCUUAGUGUAUUCUUCCCUAUGCUGUCGUCUCACCCCAUCUCUGCAAGAGACAUCUAGAGGCCAAUCAUUAUAGACACUUCAUUAAUGUGUCCCAAGCAAACGGCAUACAGCAGGUAUUCAAUAAAUUUCUGCUAGCCUUUACUGCCAAAGGGCAUGUUGAAAGGAAGAAUGCUGGAAGAGGUAAGGAAGACAGAGGAACAGAAGAAGGAAAAAUCCCAUAUGUCAUGCCAGCUCCUCAAAAAAGAUAUUAUUUUAGAAUGUAAAGGAAAAAUAGAGUUAAAGAAGAAACCAUUAAGUGGCCCAAAUUGCAUUACUAGUUCUCUACUCUGGGAUACACAGCCAUCGUUCAGUCUUUAGUAUAAGCAAUUCUUGAUUGACUAGAAGUGUUUAGCAAAAGAAGCAAAAUUUACCAUGUGUAUUUACAGUCUGAAUGGCUCGGCUCCUCUAGCUUUGCUUACAUCAAAGAAAGGGGGAAAAUGCACCCAGACAGUCUAAUUUCUUUAAGUCAGAUGAGUCACAGAAGCAAACAUUGGAAGAUGUGCUACAAAAUAAUCAAUCAUCAGAUAAAACUGUUUUGGAUGUAGCAGAUGUAUAAAAUAAAGUGGGACUAUUUUUUAAGCUAAAAGUUUGCAUAUUUACAGAAGAUUCUGGUAGAAUAGAGAAAUUUAGCCAGACCAUCACUUAAAAGGAGGUGUGGUUUCAAAGCAGAAAGGCAGCUGAAAAUAGCAGUCAGUUCUCUUCAUCCCUUAACUCCUACCCCUAUUCCUCAUCCUCAUGCCCAGCACCCAGUAAUGAUUUUUCAUGAUAAACACCUUUAAUUUUUAUUUUAUUAACAAUGUGGUUUCUAGAACACCUGAAUAUUGUAUUUGGCCAAUAUCUGCUUUAAAUAUCAUGUCAUAAAUAGAAAACAUCAGUAGCAGUAGGAUUAGCAGCAUGCUGAUCAGUUACUAGAAGGGAGGUGCCUCCCCACAGGUGACGGUCCGUAUCAUUACACCAAUUUUGCAAGUGGAGAAAUUCCUAUGCUAGAUGAGAAGCUGUAUGGCCACGUUCACACAUCUUAGACAUUAUGAAGUUUAGGUGUCCAGACGGAGCUUUCUCAUUUCAGUGUGCUCUGGCAUUUCCCAAAUGUAAACUGACAAGCAUCCAAUCUGAUGAAAUGAUGACAUCCCAUAAAAUAGAUGUUUAAUGUCUUAUAAUGUAUCUAUUUCCUGAAGCCAAUUGUAUGAAAAUCUAUCAAACUGCCUGUCUCCAAAUGUCCACAUGCUGGAGCAUCACCAUCUUCGCAUACACUCUUCUCCCUGCUUAAAACAAGCUUCCUCCUUCAUGUUCUGUCUAUUUCCAGUUUAUUUUUCAAAAAUGCCAUGCUCUUAGGUGAAAUACCUAAUGUAGAUGACAGGUUGAUGGGUGCAGCAAACCACCAUGGCACAUGUAUACCUAUGUAACAAACCUUCACGUUCUACACAUGUACCCCAGAAAUUAAAGUAUAAUAACAAAAAUAAAAAUUUUAAAAAAUCUAAUUUUACUUCUUUUGUACAUUAUUCAUAUAGUAACUUGUACUAAGGGAUUUAUUAAUGUAACUUCAUAUGUAUGUAUUUAGUCAUACAUGGAAAUAUAAAUACAGAUAGGCAACAGCUAAAAAAGAAAAAAACUCCAUGCUCACGUGUCCUAUCCUCCAGACAUAUUUUCCUAGCACUCCUUGUUUCUCCCUCCCCUCAUCACCAGUAGGGAAUUAGUAUCCUUGCUUUGUGUCCUGUGCACUCUGUGCCCAAUUCUGAGAGCGUACUUGACCCAUCUUCAUUUUUUUUUCUCAAAGACUCUUAUUUCUUUAAGGGUGGAAGCCAUAUUUUAUACGUCAUUAAAUCCGCAGAACCUAUCUGUGAUAGUUAAUAUUGAGUAUCAAGUUGAUUGAAUUGAAAGAAACAAAAUAUUGAUCCUGGGUGUGUCUGUGAGGGUGUUGCCAAAGAAGAUGAGCAUUUCAGUCAGUGGACUGGGAAAGGCAGACCCACCCUCAAUCUGGGUGGGCACAAUCUAAUCAGCUGCCAGUUCAGUCAGAAUAAAAGCAGGCAGAAGAAUGCGGAAAGCCUAAACUGGCUAAGUCUUCUGGCCUCCAUCUUUUCCCCAUGCUGGAUGCUUCUUGCCCUUGAACAUCAGACUCCAAGUUCUUUAGCUUUUCGACUCUUAGACUUAACACCGGUGAUUUGCCCAGGGCUCUUGGCCUUUGUCCACAAACUAAAGGCUGCACUAUCGGCUUCAUCCCUACUUUUGAGGUUUUGGGACUCGGACUUGCUUCCUGGCUCCUCAGUUUGCAGACGGCCUUUUGUGGGACUUCGUCUUGUGGUCAUGUGAGUCAAUACUCCUUAAUAAACUCUCUUUCAUAUAUACAUCACCCUAUUAGUCCUGUCGCUCUAGAGAACCCUAAUACAUUAUCACAUCCCUUAGCAAAUAGACUGUUAGUGCAUGUAAGAAUAAAAUAAGAAUAAUUGCUAACAUUUAUUUAGUGCCUACAUGGGAUAGGCAUCAUUCUAAGCAGUUUACAUGUAGACUUAUUUAAUUCUCAUAAUACACAUGUUGAAUAGAAACUAUUGGCCUGGAAUGGUGGCUCUCGCCUGUAAUACCAGCAGUUUGGGAGGCCGAGACAGGUGGAUCACCUGAGGUCAAGAAUUCAAGACCAGCCUGGCCAUGAUGGUGAAACCCCCAUCUCUACAAAAAUACAAAAAUUAGCCAGGCAUGAAGGUGGGUGCCUGUAAUCCCAGCUACUUGAGAGGCUGAGGUGGAAGAAUCAUUCGAACCCGGGAAGGGGAGGUUGCAGUGAGCCGAGAUCGCCCCACUGCACUCCAGCCUGGGUGAUAGAGAGAAACUCCAUCUGAAAAAAAAAAAAAAAGAAACUAUUGACAAGGAUCUUUUUUUUGCAGAGGAAAGAGAGAUAAAGAAAUACCUACAUAAACACAUAUACAUAUACAACUUAUAUGUAUAAACACAAAUAUACAUCAUGGAUCUAGAUACUUUAUUGAUUCAUAUACUUAAUAACUUUCAACACUAAUAAAUUGGACACUUACGUAGCUGCAUUGAUAAACACACAAUGCAGAUCAUAGGUGGCUCUAUGCUCUCUGUGCCCUGUCAUGGUCUAUGCGAGAGUUUUUAGUCCUGGUGUCAUAUUGACAUUCAAGACAUUUAAGGUCCUGGAAUGUGAGCCACAUGAUGAGAUAAUUUGAGGAUGGACAGUUUGCAGAAGAGAAUACCCUUUGUUCAAAUAUCUAAACAGCUGUCAUGAACAAGAGCGAUUAGAUUCAUUUUGCUUGACCCAGGAGGUGCAAAACUGAGACUAAUGGAUGGGAGCUUCAGGGAGGGAGAAUGUUGCUCAGCCCAAGGAAGGAUUUCUGGCAAGAAAGGUCUAUGCCGCUAGAUCUUGUGCUCCUGGGAAUAGAAAGCUUUGGCUCCCUUCCAGCAUGGAAACUCAGACUAUAUGUCCAUUUACUAGGUAGUAUCAUAUUUCACAGGAUACUUCUGCUUUGAGUAAGAGAGGGUAUUACAGGACCACCAUGAUCUCUUUUAUGUAUACAUUUUAGUGGAAAUUGUAACAAGUCUAGUUAAAAUGACAUAUGCCUUGGAAAAAAAGUUUAUUUCUACUAAUGUUAAAACUACUAUGACUAUCACUGCCAAUGCUACUAUAAUUACUAUUAAUGGUCAUAUGAUAAAUAAUGUUUGCAGGGCAGCUACUGUAUACUAGGUACAUAUUCCCUCUGCUAGUUUGCAUUUUGCAUAUACCAUGUCAUUUAACCUGCACAGCAAUUCUGAGUGGUUGGUGUCAUCGAUCUCUUUUUGCAGUUUCAGGGAACUGAGGCUCUAGGAGGUGAAGCCAUCUACUCAUGGUUAGCCAGAUAGUAACACUCAGAUCUAUGUGUGUCUGGCCACAAAAUCAGUUCUCUUUCUGUUUUACAGAGCCAUAGGAAGAGAGGGUAGGAAGAGAGGAGAGGAGAGGAGAGGAGAUGAGAGGAGAGGACAUAUAAUAGAUAAUCCUAGGCUUAAGUCAGAUUUAUUUUGGGAAAAUAUGAGACUCAGUUACUGAAAUAUUCUAAUUUUUUAUAUAUCAAGCUAUACAUUACUGAUUAUAUAGUUUGCAAUUAUUGAUGACAGAUUCACUAGUUUGAUUCUUUCUUUGUUGAUCUCAUUCUUCCUGAGGUUGUUUCAUCCUUCAUAGGAAGAGCUACUACUUCACAAUUGCAUGAGAAGAGAUCAAUUUAUAUGUAUGGCUCAUACACAUCUCAAAAGGAGAAAUCAAGAGGGACUUAGGUAUGCCAGCCUCAGUAGUAAAUAAAAAUGUAUGGAAAGCAUAGUUUUUUAUAUAAGAUGCACCUAGAUUUUUUUGUAUAAGAUGCUUUCUUUACAUGACAUACUUUCUCCCUCUUUCUUUCUUUAAGACCUACCACUACUAUGAAGCCUUUACUGAAUUCGCUGGUUCCUGAGGUUUCUUCUCAAGCUUCUGUAGAAGCUAUCCUCUGCACCACAACAUCAGAUCCUGAAUCAUGUGCUAUCAAUACUACUGGAUUUUCUGUUUUUCUGUGCCUGCUUUUCUUUCCUGUGUAGGUGGACAGAAAUGCACAUGGGUUGCAGUAUCUAGGGAAAUGCCAACUGAGGGUUCUUCAGGCCUAUUACAGACUAACAUAACUUUGAAGAGCAUAGUGAAUUCCAAUAUCUAAUCUUCAUCUUUGCAAGACCAAGAAUUCACUCUUGUCUGAGUCCUAGAAAUGAUUAUUGAUUCGAACAUUAAUUAUAUUUUCCUAACGUUUGAGUCGUCUCAAUGUUAAGUGGAGACAAUCUGGACAAAACAGAAGCUUUCUGCUCCACCUACUUGUAAGGCAAUGAGGGCAAUCACUCAACAGAAUUCCUCCUAAGAGGAACCCUGAGAGUGUUUGGAAGAAAUAAAUACUAUGCAGAAUGGAUGGUGACCAUCAAGAAAAAACUUCAGCGGAAAAAGAUGGCUCCCAGAUUUCUUUCUCAAGGAAACCAGAGCUCCAGGAGAAUGUUUUGUUUGACUGAGUACUUUGCUGGGCCAGAAGAUGAAAAAUUGGGACCAGGCAUGGUGGCUCACUCCUGUAAUCCCAGCACUUUGGGAGGCUGAGGCAGGCGGAUCAUGAGGUCAGGAGAUCGAGACCAUCCUGGCUAACACGGUAAAACCGUGUUUCUACUAAAAAUACAAAAAAUUAGCCAGGCGUGGUGGCGGCGGGCACCUAUAGUCCCAGCUACUCAGGAGGCUGAGGCAGGAGAAUGGCGUGAACCUGGGAGGCAGAGCUUGCAGUGAGCAGAGAUCGCACCACUGCACUCCAGCCUGGGCGACAGAGUGAGACUACAUCUCAAAAAAUAAUAAUAAUAAAAUAAAAUUGGAAGUCAGAGUCAAGGUAGAGCUAAACUGUAUUAGGCCGUUACAGUGCACAACUCCAGGUGCCGUCACUGGCAUUAAAGCCAGGAAGCAAUUGUGGAAAAGGGGAAUGUCUAAUGGUACCUAUCUCUAUGAGGUAAUAUAAGAUCUCUAUUUUUCUGGCAUACGCUUUCAGUAAUUUUAUCAUGUUUGAUAAUUCUUUUGUGACACUGGAUUGAUUUUGGGUGAUAGAAUGUUAAAAAAGGGCUGAGUUAUGAAUCUGAGUUACCACAGGUGAACGCAGGUACUUUUCCUGCAGCUUACCAGCUGAAAGAAAAGAGAAUAUUUGGGUUUCAUAUGAUUAUGGGAUACUGAUGUCUAAUUUGGGGGGGUUGUUAAGAUACUUAAACAAAAAGAAAUUAUAAACUGUAUGGAAAUUGUAGAAGCUCGACGUGUGUUUACUAUCUUCUUACAGGAAAGCCGAGUGAUACGGACUACUCAUAAGAAACUAAACAAGAUCAUCAAGUUGGUAACAAUGAGGGGUGUGUGUGUGUGUGUGUGUGUGUGUGUGUGUGUGUGUGUGUGUUGGGAAUUGCAUGAAGAGAGCAUGGCAGUUUUGGGGGAAUCUCACAAACAAAGAAGGAGAGCUCAGCAGUAAUUCAGAUGGUCAAGGCUCUAAGCCUGAUGACCUCUGUAUUAUUCCUACAAUAGGUCUAGGCCUGUCACAGGAGAGAGGGCCAUAGAGCACGUCUAGCCUCUCCUUUC